CACGUUCCCGUAAGGUCACCGAAGUUAAGCAACAUCGAGCCUAGUCAGUACCUCAAUGGGUAACCGCUUGGGAAUAUCCAGUACGGU